rnacentral:rRNA from 1 species
GAAGCCCAGCUUGCUGGGUGGAUUAGUGGCGAACGGGUGAGUAACACGUGAGCAACGUGCCCAUAACUCUGGGAUAACCUCCGGAAACGGUGGCUAAUACUGGAUAUCUAACGCGAUCGCAUGGUCUGUGUUUGGAAAGAUUUUUUGGUUAUGGAUCGGCUCACGGCCUAUCAGCUUGUUGGUGAGGUAAUGGCUCACCAAGGCGACGACGGGUAGCCGGCCUGAGAGGGUGACCGGCCACACUGGGACUGAGACACGGCCCAGACUCCUACGGGAGGCAGCAGUGGGGAAUAUUGCACAAUGGGCGAAAGCCUGAUGCAGCAACGCCGCGUGAGGGAUGACGGCCUUCGGGUUGUAAACCUCUUUUAGUAGGGAAGAAGCGAAAGUGACGGUACCUGCAGAAAAAGCACCGGCUAACUACGUGCCAGCAGCCGCGGUAAUACGUAGGGUGCAAGCGUUGUCCGGAAUUAUUGGGCGUAAAGAGCUCGUAGGCGGUUUGUCGCGUCUGCUGUGAAAUCCCGAGGCUCAACCUCGGGUCUGCAGUGGGUACGGGCAGACUAGAGUGUGGUAGGGGAGAUUGGAAUUCCUGGUGUAGCGGUGGAAUGCGCAGAUAUCAGGAGGAACACCGAUGGCGAAGGCAGAUCUCUGGGCCAUUACUGACGCUGAGGAGCGAAAGCAUGGGGAGCGAACAGGAUUAGAUACCCUGGUAGUCCAUGCCGUAAACGUUGGGCGCUAGAUGUGGGGACCAU